UGGCGGACGGGUGAGAAUCGCGUGGGAACGUGCCCUUCUCUACGGAAUAGUCCUGGGAAACUGGGGGUAAUACCGUAUACGCCCUUUGGGGGAAAGAUUUAUCGGAGAAGGAUCGGCCCGCGUUGGACUAGGUAGUUGGUGGGGUAAUGGCUCACCAAGCCGACGAUCCAUAGCUGGUUUGAGAGGAUGAUCAGCCACACUGGGACUGAGACACGGCCCAGACUCCUACGGGAGGCAGCAGUGGGGAAUCUUAGACAAUGGGGGCAACCCUGAUCUAGCCAUGCCGCGUGAGUGAUGAAGGCCUUAGGGUUGUAAAGCUCUUUCAGCUGUGAAGAUAAUGACGGUAGCAGCAGAAGAAGUCCCGGCUAACUCCGUGCCAGCAGCCGCGGUAAUA
rnacentral:rRNA from 1 species